rnacentral:misc_RNA from 1 species
CUACGGCCCAGCAGCAGCAAAGCUACGGUCAGGAUUCUACUGGUUAUUAUGCUCAACCUGGAUAUGCUCAACCUGCAUCCAAUGCUCAAGGUGGGUAUGAUCAGCAGCAGCAAGGCUAUGGCUCGGCACCGACUUAUGGAGCAGUGACAAAUCCAACUCAAGAUGGAUCUGCCCCGACUUAUGGGGCGCAGACUGCAACCGCUCAGGCUCCUCCAUCUCAGGAAUCUCAUGCUGUUCAGCCUUAUCCAAACCAACAAGGCUAUGCUGCUUAUCCUGCCCAAGGAGCUACUGGAUAUGGUGGCCAACCUCCUGCUCAGUCUGGGUAUCCACUUCCAGCACCUCAAGCACAGCCUCCAGCUCAAGGUCAGAAAUCUCCUUCUGGUCAAGUAGCCUAUGGCCAAGCACAGCCAUCUGCUACCGCCCAGCCUGGCUAUGCUCAGCCUGCGCCUGUGCAACCUGGAUAUGAG